rnacentral:rRNA from 1 species
AUUGAACGCUGGCGGCAUGCCUUACACAUGCAAGUCGAACGGCAGCGCGGGAGCAAUCCUGGCGGCGAGUGGCGAACGGGUGAGUAAUACAUCGGAACGUGCCCAAUCGUGGGGGAUAACGCAGCGAAAGCUGUGCUAAUACCGCAUACGAUCUACGGAUGAAAGCAGGGGAUCGCAAGACCUUGCGCGAAUGGAGGGGCCGAUGGCAGAUUAGGUAGUUGGUGAGGUAAAGGCUCACCAAGCCUUCGAUCUGUAGCUGGUCUGAGAGGACGACCAGCCACACUGGGACUGAGACACGGCCCAGACUCCUACGGGAGGCAGCAGUGGGGAAUUUUGGACAAUGGGCGAAAGCCUGAUCCAGCCAUGCCGCGUGCAGGAUGAAGGCCUUCGGGUUGUAAACUGCUUUUGUACGGAACGAAACGGUCUUUUCUAAUAAAGAAGGCUAAUGACGGUACCGUAAGAAUAAGCACCGGCUAACUACGUG